rnacentral:sRNA from 1 species
UUCUUAUGUUUUGGAGUCACACAAGCCAAAGACGGGCCAUUUUCCAGACCUCAUCCAGCUUACUGGAGGUUUUGGCUCUGCGUGAGUGUGGUCUACGAGCUGUUUCUCAUCUUUAUACUCUUCCAGAAUGGAAUCAUGGGGUGGGCAGCCUCUUCCCACCCUGCACAGUGCCUCUGAGGUUCACCCAGGAUCAUGCGGUGGGCAGCCUCUUCCCGCCCUGCACAGUGCCUCUGAGGUUCACCCAGGAUCAUGCGGUGGGCAGCCUCUUCCCGCCCUGCACAGUGC